GAUGAACGCUGGCGGCGUGCCUAAUACAUGCAAGUCGAGCGAACAGACGAGGAGCUUGCUCCUCUGACGUUAGCGGCGGACGGGUGAGUAACACGUGGAUAACCUACCUAUAAGACUGGGAUAACUUCGGGAAACCGGAGCUAAUACCGGAUAAUAUAUUGAACCGCAUGGUUCAAUAGUGAAAGACGGUUUUGCUGUCACUUAUAGAUGGAUCCGCGCCGCAUUAGCUAGUUGGUAAGGUAACGGCUUACCAAGGCAACGAUGCGUAGCCGACCUGAGAGGGUGAUCGGCCACACUGGAACUGAGACCCGUUCCAGACUCCUACGGAGGCAGCAGUAGGGAAUCUUCCGCAAUGGGCGAAAGCCUGACGGAGCAACGCCGCGUGAGUGAUGAAGGUCUUCGGAUCGUAAAACUCUGUUAUUAGGGAAGAACAAAUGUGUAAGUAACUAUGCACGUCUUGACGGUACCUAAUCAGAAAGCCACGGCUAACUACGUG
rnacentral:rRNA from 1 species